UAUUGAGGCAUGUGACAUAUAGAUAAGUGUUUUGUUAAAAUUAAUACAUAAACAAAUUACAUAUGCAUAUAUGUGUAUGUGUAUGUAUGCAUACACACACAUAUAGAUACAUCUAUAUGUA
ensembl:miRNA